AUCCAGCUGACGAGUCCCAGAUAGGAUGAAACAUGCAUCCUGGAU
rfam:Schistosoma mattheei strain Denwood, Zambia genome assembly, scaffold: SMTD_contig0001920